rnacentral:rRNA from 1 species
UAGGGAAUCUUCGGCAAUGGGGGCAACCCUGACCGAGCAACGCCGCGUGAGUGAAGAAGGUUUUCGGAUCGUAAAGCUCUGUUGUAAGUCAAGAACGGGUGUGAGAGUGGAAAGUUCACACUGUGACGGUAGCUUACCAGAAAGGGACGGCUAACUACGUGCCAGCAGCCGCGGUAAUACGUAGGUCCCGAGCGUUGUCCGGAUUUAUUGGGCGUAAAGCAAGCGCAGGCGGUUUGAUAAGUCUGAAGUUAAAGGCUGUGGCUCAACCAUAGUUCGCUUUGGAAACUGUCAAAAUUGAGUGCAGAAGGGGAGAGUGGAAUUCCAUGUGUAGCGGUGAAAUGCGUAGAUAUAUGGAGGAACACCGGUGGCGAAAGCGGCUCUCUGGUCUGUAACUGACGCUGAGGCUCGAAAGCGUGGGGAGCGAAAAGG